CAAGGCGACGAUCCCUAGCUGGUCUGAGAGGAUGACCAGCCACACUGGAACUGAGACACGGUCCAGACUCCUACGGGAGGCAGCAGUGGGGAAUAUUGCACAAUGGGCGCAAGCCUGAUGCAGCCAUGCCGCGUGUAUGAAGAAGGCCUUCGGGUUGUAAAGUACUUUCAGCGGGGAGGAAGGUGUUGUGGUUAAUAACCGCAGCAAUUGACGUUACCCGCAGAAGAAGCACCGGCUAACUCCGUGCCAGCAGCCGCGGUAAUACGGAGGG
rnacentral:rRNA from 1 species